rnacentral:lncRNA from 1 species
AUGGCCAAGCGGCGUGCGGCUGAGCCGCUCACGUUCCGCGUGCCUUGGAAGCGGCUCCUGCUCAGCGACUUCCCCGAGGAGCCGCCGCUCUGGGUCCCGCCGUCUGGGACGGCUCGGCCCCUCAAGCGCCAGGGGGACGCGGGGAUCAUGGCGGGGACGACAGACAGGAGCUGCAGGGCUGUAGCCGGGAGCCCGGAGAGCCGCCUCCUGGCGAGCAGGAGGAACCCCGGGCUGCGGGCGGCGGCGACAGAGUAGAAAACGCGGGAAGCCCGCAGGUAGCCGACCGGGUGCACAGCCAGCAGCCUGAAGAGUUUUGGCAGUAUAAUACAUUCCAGUAUUGGAGGAACCCUCUGCCCUCUCUUGAUCUGGCAGCUCUUGAAGAUGUGAGUGCAAACAGCCUGACAGAAACACUUGAGGACAAGAAUGAAGGAGUUGAGAUUGACAUGGAGUCCUGA